rfam:Stegodyphus mimosarum contig24478, whole genome shotgun sequence.
GCCUUCGUGGUGUAAUGGUCAGCACACUCGGCGCGUAUUCGAGAGUUUCGAGGUUCGAGUCCCGGCGAAGGCA